UGCGGUAGGGGAGACUGGAAUUCCCGGUGUAACGGUGGAAUGUGUAGAUAUCGGGAAGAACACCAAUGGCGAAGGCAGGUCUCUGGGCCGUCACUGACGCUGAGGAGCGAAAGCGUGGGGAGCGAACAGGAUUAGAUACCCUGGUAGUCCACGCCGUAAACGGUGGAUGCUGGAUGUGGGGACCAUUCCACGGUCUCCGUGUCGGAGCCAACGCGUUAAGCAUCCCGCCUGGGGAGUACGGCCGCAAGGCUAAAACUCAAAGAAAUUGACGGGGGCCCGCACAAGCGGCGGAGCAUGCGGAUUAAUUCGAUGCAACGCGAAGAACCUUACCUGGGCUUGACAUGUUCCCGACAGCCGUAGAGAUACGGUUUCCCUUCGGGGCGGGUUCACAGGUGGUGCAUGGUCGUCGUCAGCUCGUGUCGUGAGAUGUUGGGUUAAGUCCCGCAACGAGCGCAACCCUCGCCCCGUGUUGCCAGCACGUUAUGGUGGGAACUCACGGGGGACCGCCGGGGUUAACUCGGAGGAAGGUGGGGAUGACGUCAGAUCAUCAUGCCCCUUACGUCCAGGGCUUCACGCAUGCUACAAUGGCCGGUACAACGGGAUGCGACCUCGUGAGGGGGAGCGGAUCCCUUAAAACCGGUCUCAGUUCGGAUUGGAGUCUGCAACCCGACUCCAUGAAGGCGGAGUCGCUAGUAAUCGCGGAUCAGCAACGCCGCGGUGAAUGCGUUCCCGGGCCUUGUACACACCGCCCGUCAAGUCAUGAAAGUGGGCAGCACCCGAAGCCGGUGGCCUAACCCCUUGUGGGAUGGAGCCGUCUAAGGUGAGGCUCGUGAUUGGGACUAAGUCGUAACAAGGUAGCCGUACCGGAAGGUGCGGCUG
rnacentral:rRNA from 1 species